UACAGAGGGGGCAAGCGUUGUCCGGAAUUACUGGGCGUACAGCGCGCGCAGGCGGUUACUUACGUGCCGUGUGACAAACGGGGGCUCAACCCCCGAGGGCCACGGGAAACUGGGCGACUGGAGGGAGGGAGAGGGAUGUGGAAUGCCCGGUGGAGCGGUGAAAUGCGUAGAGAUCGGGAGGAACACCAGCGGCGAAGGCGGCAUCCUGGCCCGAUCCUGACGCUGAGGCGCGAGAGCGUGGGGAGCAAACCGG
rnacentral:rRNA from 1 species